GACAGAGGGUGCAAACGUUGUUCGGAAUUACUGGGCGUAAAGCGUGCGCAGGCGGCUUUGCAAGACAGAUGUGAAAUCCCCGGGCUCAACCUGGGAACUGCAUUUGUGACUGCACGGCUGGAGUGCGGCAGAGGGGGAUGGAAUUCCGCGUGUAGCAGUGAAAUGCGUAGAUAUGCGGAGGAACACCGAUGGCGAAGGCAAUCCCCUGGGCCUGCACUGACGCUCAUGCACGAAAGCGUGGGGAGCAAACAGG
rnacentral:rRNA from 1 species